rnacentral:rRNA from 1 species
UACGUAGGAUGCAAGCGUUGUCCGGAUUUACUGGGCGUAAAGCGCGUGUAGGUGGUUGUCCAAGUUGGAUGUGAAAGCCUUGAGCUCAACUCAAGAAAUGCAUUCAGGACUGGGCGACUAGAGGACCGGAGAGGAUAGUGGAAUUCCCAGUGUAGUGGUGAAAUACGUAGAGAUUGGGAAGAACACCAGUGGCGAAGGCGGCUAUCUGGACGGUUUCUGACACUAAGGCGCGAAAGCGUGGGGAGCAAACAGG